AUGUUCGCUUUUAACAACACAUACACUAAAACUGGAACAAUACAGAGAAGAACAGCAUGGCCCCUACACUGUGAUGUUGUCAAAAAGGCGUCUGCUCUCUUU